UACGAAGGGAGCUAGCGUUGUUCGGAAUCACUGGGCGUAAAGCGCACGCAGGCGGAUGUGUCAGUCAGGGGUGAAAUCCCGGAGCUCAACUUCGGAACUGCCUUUGAUACAGCACGUCUUGAGUCCGAUAGAGGUGGGUGGAAUUCCUAGUGUAGAGGUGAAAUUCGUAGAUAUUAGGAAGAACACCGGUGGCGAAGGCGGCCCACUGGAUCGGUACUGACGCUGAGGUGCGAAAGCGUGGGGAGCAAACAGG
rnacentral:rRNA from 1 species